GGCUCAGUGGUCUAGUGGUAUGAUUCUCGCUUUGGGUGCGAGAGGCCAUGGGUUCGAUUCCCGUCGGAGCCC
rnacentral:tRNA from 2 species